UGGGGAAUAUUGCACAAUGGAGGGAACUCUGAUGCAGCGACGCCGCGUGAACGAAGAAGGCUUUCGAGUCGUAAAGUUCUUUUAUAUGGGAAGAUAAUGACGGUACCAUAAGAAAAAGCCCCGGCUAACUACGUGCCAGUAGCCGCGGUAAUACGUAGGGGGCUAGCGUUGUCCGGAAUCACUGGGCGUAAAGGGUUCGCAGGCGGAAAUGCAAGUCAGGUGUAAAAGGCAGUAGCUUAACUACUGUAAGCAUUUGAAACUGCAUAUCUUGAGAAGAGUAGAGGUAAGUGGAAUUUUUAGUGUAGCGGUGAAAUGCGUAGAUAUUAAAAAGAAUACCGGUGGCGAAGGCGACUUACUGGGCUCAUUCUGACGCUGAGGAACGAAAGCGUGGGUAGCAAACAGG
rnacentral:rRNA from 1 species